GUGAAAUUGAACUCGCUGUGAAGAUGCAGUGUACCCGCGGCAAGACGGAAAGACCCCGUGAACCUUUACUAUAGCUUGACACUGAACAUUGAGCCUUGAUGUGUAGGAUAGGUGGGAGGCUUUGAAGCGUGGACGCCAGUCUGCGUGGAGCCGGCCUUGAAAUACCACCCUUUAAUGUUUGAUGUUCUAACGUGGACCCGUGAUCCGGGUUGCGGACAGUGUCUGGUGGGUAGUUUGACUGGGGCGGUCUCCUCCUAAAGAGUAACGGAGGAGCACGAAGGUUGGCUAAUCCUGGUCGGACAUCAGGAGGUUAGUGCAAUGGCAUAAGCCAGCUUGACUGCGAGCGUGACGGCGCGAGCAGGUGCGAAAGCAGGUCAUAGUGAUCCGGUGGUUCUGAAUGGAAGGGCCAUCGCUCAACGGAUAAAAGGUACUCCGGGGAUAACAGGCUGAUACCGCCCAAGAGUUCAUAUCGACGGCGGUGUUUGGCACCUCGAUGUCGGCUCAUCACAUCCUGGGGCUGAAGUAGGUCCCAAGGGUAUGGCUGUUCGCCAUUUAAAGUGGUACGCGAGCUGGGUUUAGAACGUCGUGAGACAGUUCGGUCCCUAUCUGCCGUGGGCGCUGGAGAACUGAGGGGGGCUGCUCCUAGUACGAGAGGACCGGAGUGGACGCAUCACUGGUGUUCGGGUUGUCAUGCCAAUGGCACUGCCCGGUAGCUAAAUGCGGAAGAGAUAAGUGCUGAAAGCAUCUAAGCACGAAACUUGCCCCGAGAUGAGUUCUCCCUGAGACUUAAAGUCUCCUGAAGGAACGUUGAAGACGACGACGUUGAUAGGCCGGGUGUGUAAGCGCAGCGAUGCGUUGAGCUAACCGGUACUAAUGAACCGUGAGGCUUAACCUUACAACGCCGAAG
rnacentral:rRNA from 1 species